rnacentral:rRNA from 2 species
AUAAGCGGAGGAAAAGAAACUAACAAGGAUUCCCCUAGUAACUGCGAGUGAAGCGGGAAAAGCUCAAAUUUAAAAUCUGGCGGUCUUUGGCCGUCCGAGUUGUAGUCUGGAGAAGUGCUUUCCGCGCUGGACCGUGUACAAGUCUCUUGGAACAGAGCGUCAUAGAGGGUGAGAAUCCCGUCUUUGACACGGACUACCAGUGCUUUGUGAUGCGCUCUCAAAGAGUCGAGUUGUUUGGGAAUGCAGCUCAAAAUGGGUGGUAAAUUCCAUCUAAAGCUAAAUAUUGGCGAGAGACCGAUAGCGAACAAGUACCGUGAGGGAAAGAUGAAAAGCACUUUGGAAAGAGAGUUAAACAGUACGUGAAAUUGCUGAAAGGGAAACGCUUGAAGUCAGUCGCGUUGGCCAGGACUCAGCCUUGCUUUUUUGCUUGGUGCACUUUCUGGUUGACGGGCCAGCAUCGAUUUUGACCGCUGGAAAAAGGUUGGGGGAAUGUGGCACCUUCGGGUGUGUUAUAGCCCUCAGUCACAUACGGUGGUUGGGAUCGAGGACCGCAGCACGCCUUUAUGGCCGGGGUUCGCCCACGUUCGUGCUUAGGAUGCUGGCGUAAUGGCUUUAAACGACCCGUCUUGAAACACGGACCAAGGAGUCUAACAUGCCUGCGAGUGUUUGGGUGGAAAACCCGAGCGCGUAAUGAAAGUGAAAGUUGAGAUCCCUGUCGUGGGGAGCAUCGACGCCCGGACCUGAACUUCGGUGAUGGCUCUGCGGUAGAGCAUGUAUGUUGGGACCCGAAAGAUGGUGAACUAUGCCUGAAUAGGGUGAAGCCAGAGGAAACUCUGGUGGAGGCUCGUAGCGAUUCUGACGUGCAAAUCGAUCGUCAAAUUUGGGUAUAGGGGCGAAAGACUAAUCGAACC